rnacentral:snoRNA from 24 species
UUACCUGUGAUUAAACAUUUUCCAAUAUACCAAUUGUUCCGACUGAAUAGUGGUUAUAACUGCAUGUCGACAACCUUUUUUCGUUAAGUUUCAGCCUUGUAUGAGGUUU